rnacentral:lncRNA from 1 species
CAAAAAUUAUCAUACAAGUUUCUCUUUGUAUCCAUAUUUAAAACAUGAUGGAGAAGAAUUGAGCCUUUAUACGAGGGGCAGCUUGUGUGUUUAUCCAGCAGCUCCAGCACCAGGAAACAAGAGAAAGCCCCCAUUGGUAGUGGUGGAAGCAGGAAAAGGUUGGAGACUGCGAGGCUGGCGAGAGGAGAGGUGAAUGGAGACGGGGAGAGAGAGAGAGAAGGAGAAAGAAACUCUUUGAGUGACAGUAAUUUGGGAACCUGGACUUUUUAUGACUUUCCUCCUUUUGGGAAAACACACAGACUUCGGGGUAUAGCACUUGGGACCAUAUCAAAGACAUCUUUUACCAUCAGAAGCAGGACUGCUGCCGCGUGUGUUGUCUUCCAAAGCGCAGGCUACAUCCCAGAGGCGUCCCCGACAAUAAUCCUCAAAGAGAAUUGCUGAUGAAUAGAGUGACAAACCGUGCGUCAUCCACUGACACUAAAGACCACAAGCAACAGGAAGUGACUGCACCUUUCAGACACCUGGAAACCAAUGAACAGCCACAACCUGUGGGAGAGAACUCUUCUACAGCCAAUCACAGUCCAUCUGGGAGCGACUGCAAUCACUCAGAUAAUUACAGUAUAUCUAAAUUAUAAAUUCAGAGAGAUUGCCAACACACUGCAAUCAGUUUGAGUCGGUCUGUGCAAUGGCAGCUCAUCUCUUUGCAAUAGGAAUGCAAGUUUCUGGUUGGACACUGAAGUAGUUAAUGUGAAUUUCUGCUUAAUGGGAUUAUCUAUGUAUGUAGACAUCAGAUUUUCAAUUUUGAAUGAUGUAUUAAGAGUAAAACUGCUGUAUUAUCACAAACAGAUUGCAUGCUAUUAUCAACUUGACCCCAUUCAAACACAAACUGAUCGCAGACUCCAUCUUUUAUCAUCUUCCUGAUGCAUCCAAGUUACUUUGAGGAGGACAACUGAGUGAUCACAGACCUGGUCCCUGUCUUUGAAGCAAUCAUUUCAAAUGCAACGAGACUACAAGUCCAUUGUUUCCCUAGUGCUUAAUAUCCAAUCUGCCCACAUUGGAUCUUUGGGUUCUCGAGUUGUUCCUAUUCCAGGGAUGAAAAAAUGACUAUGUUUUGUAAAAUCCACUCUUUGUCCUUUGUGACAUACAAAGUUAUAGAAUUAGUGACACAGAGCUACAAUCAUUAUUCUCAAACGGGCGAGUUGCUGUUCUGAAAGGGUGUAUUUUAACUCACCCUAUGAUCUUUUACGAGAGUGAA